AACUGAUUGAUGGUGCUUGCACCUGAUUGACGAUGGAUCACCAGUGAGUGGCGGACGGGUGAGUAACACGUAGGUAACCUGCCCCGGAGCGGGGGAUAACAUUUGGAAACAGAUGCUAAUACCGCAUAACAACAAAAGCCACAUGGCUUUUGUUUGAAAGAUGGCUUUGGCUAUCACUCUGGGAUGGACCUGCGGUGCAUUAGCUAGUUGGUAAGGUAACGGCUUACCAAGGCGAUGAUGCAUAGCCGAGUUGAGAGACUGAUCGGCCACAAUGGAACUGAGACACGGUCCAUACUCCUACGGGAGGCAGCAGUAGGGAAUCUUCCACAAUGGGCGCAAGCCUGAUGGAGCAACACCGCGUGAGUGAAGAAGGGUUUCGGCUCGUAAAGCUCUGUUGUUGGAGAAGAACGUGCGUGAGAGUAACUGUUCACGCAGUGACGGUAUCCAACCAGAAAGUCACGGCUAACUACGUGCCAGCAGCCGCGGUAAUACGUAGGUGGCAAGCGUUAUCCGGAUUUAUUGGGCGUAAAGCGAGCGCAGGCGGUUGCUUAGGUCUGAUGUGAAAGCCUUCGGCUUAACCGAAGAAGUGCAUCGGAAACCGGGCGACUUGAGUGCAGAAGAGGACAGUGGAACUCCAUGUGUAGCGGUGGAAUGCGUAGAUAUAUGGAAGAACACCAGUGGCGAAGGCGGCUGUCUGGUCUGCAACUGACGCUGAGGCUCGAAAGCAUGGGUAGCGAACAGGAUUAGAUACCCUGGUAGUCCAUGCCGUAAACGAUGAGUGCUAGGUGUUGGAGGGUUUCCGCCCUUCAGUGCCGGAGCUAACGCAUUAAGCACUCCGCCUGGGGAGUACGACCGCAAGGUUGAAACUCAAAGGAAUUGACGGGGGCCCGCACAAGCGGUGGAGCAUGUGGUUUAAUUCGAAGCUACGCGAAGAACCUUACCAGGUCUUGACAUCUUGCGCUAACCUUAGAGAUAAGGCGUUCCCUUCGGGGACGCAAUGACAGGUGGUGCAUGGUCGUCGUCAGCUCGUGUCGUGAGAUGUUGGGUUAAGUCCCGCAACGAGCGCAACCCUUGUUACUAGUUGCCAGCAUUAAGUUGGGCACUCUAGUGAGACUGCCGGUGACAAACCGGAGGAAGGUGGGGACGACGUCAGAUCAUCAUGCCCCUUAUGACCUGGGCUACACACGUGCUACAAUGGACGGUACAACGAGUCGCAAGCUCGCGAGAGUAAGCUAAUCUCUUAAAGCCGUUCUCAGUUCGGACUGUAGGCUGCAACUCGCCUACACGAAGUCGGAAUCGCUAGUAAUCGCGGAUCAGCAUGCCGCGGUGAAUACGUUCCCGGGCCUUGUACACACCGCCCGUCACACCAUGGGAGUUUGUAACGCCCAAAGUCGGUGGCC
rnacentral:rRNA from 1 species